GGAUUCUGGGAACAGUGAGGAGGAGCGUGAGGAUAGCUGCGUGGGCCAGAGGGGCCAGGAGGAUGAGCUGGAGUAACCGGAUUUGGAAUGAGUUUUAGAACAAUCUCCAUCGCUCACAAAAGUAACUCAGUGAUAAUAGGGUUGUGUGGCUUCCGUAAUGUGGCCCAGGACUUCACAUAACCUUGAUAAAAUCCAGCCUCACAAGGAAAACUGCCCAAGGUCAUAGAGAAGAAUUCAUACAAGGAGAAUUCACACAGGAACUCACAGAAGAAUGCUGUCAGCCACAUGCCAUCACAUGAGUGAGGCCAUACAUUUCAGGUUCAGCACCAGGAAGAUCGAGAGGACACAUCUUCCAUCACAGCUGCAAGAUAUAAAUCCACAAGAGUCCCAGCACCCCAUGAAGAGCUCUAUGUGACUCCUCUCAGGUGCCCGCCUUCCCUGGGUGCUGGUCAGCCCCUCUUGUGCUUUCUGCUAAUAGCCGUCUUCCUCCUGCACAUGGCUUGCUCUGGGUCAGAAGUCUGCACUCCCCUUCAUCCACCCUGUCUGUCCCAGAGUUCAGAGCGAUGCAAAGAGAAGACAGAACAGAGCCUGUGUAUGGGAGGCUCAUGCAGGGGACCUGCAGAGGGAAGCUGCUGCCAGCAUCAGCAGGACCAUCCUAUCCAUUCUCGCACCAUCACCACCACCCCCCCCAGCUAGCCCUGCAGGCGUCUGCUAUGGCUGUGUGGCCGCAAACUGCUUUUUCAAAGCACCCUACAGGACAGAUAUUCUCUCUGCAGAGAGGGCAACUCAGUGUGUCAGGCAUUGUGGGGAGAGUGGGCUAACAAGCCAAGGUACCCCCUAGAGUGAACUAGAAUGCUCAGAGCAGGAUCUUCAGCUCAUACUUCCAAGGAGAUAGGAACACAUUGUUAGGGUAGAGAGAACACAGGAGCCUGUGAUGAAAUAAUUACUGAAAUCAAAAUGCCAAUCUAUUCCCGCUAUAGAAUCCUGGGCAAGGUACUUACCUUUCUAAGUCUUCCUUUUAUAGCACCACAAGGCUUCAUACUUAACCCCAAAAAAUCUCAGUUCUACUUCUUAGGCCCUGGGGAACCACUGAAAGGCUUAAAGAACAGGAGUAACAGGCCCUUUAUAUUUUAGAUAAUUCUAUGGUUCAGAUUGGGCUGGAGUGUGUCCCCAGGUGUUGAAAACUCGAUCCUCAGUGUAACAGCAUGACAGGUGGUGGGCCUUUAAGAGUUCAGCCUAGUGAAAGGUGAUUAAAACAUCAGGAAUGUGUCCUCAGAAGGAAUUCACGCUAGCCUCAUGGAAUUAGUUCCCAUAAGACAGGGUUGUUAUGAAAAGAACAAGAAUUCUUCCUCCCUGGUCUCGGACUUCCUGCCUCCUCAUGUGAAGUCUGCUGCGUGUACUGUGGCCAGGGAACCAUCUGUCCUGAGGACCACCAGCGGCCAAGCAGAGAGUCCAACUGAUCUUGUACUUUUAGU